GUCUUCGUGGUGUAGUGGUCAGCACGCUCGAGGAGUAACCGAGAGGUCCGUGGUUCGAUUCCCGGCGAAGGCG
rnacentral:tRNA from 1 species